CUGACAAAGGCGUCCUUCCCCCGUUGAACCAACCGGGAGCAGGGAAAAUGAACCAUGCCCAGUUGUACGAGAGGAACCAACCGAAAAUUACACUGACGGUGAGAGCAGCACAACCCUCAGACGCCGGCAUAUAUUGCUGUGAUGUAUGGUACAAUUAUGUCACCGGGGAUACAAGGUAUUAUGGUGCUCAACGUGAUGGCCAAAAUAAAAAAUGUCAGAACCUUAAAGUCGGCCAGAAUACGAAACUCUCAAGAAAUGGAUGUUCUAGUGUGGACAUUUCAGCUGGUCUUUUUGUUGGUCUACUGACAUUACUCGUGUAAAUUGGAUGUAUUAUUUGGUCUGCUUAUGUUAUAAUUAAGGAAUUUGAAAAUAUAUCUCAAUUAUUUCACGUGAACAUCUGAAAACGAGAGACGUUACCAAAUAUUGGAAAGUUUAUCUCGUCAAAAAAAGGAAGCAACAAUAUUUUAUUUGGAUGAAAUUUAUUCCAC